UACGAAGGGGGCUAGCGUUGCUCGGAAUCACUGGGCGUAAAGGGCGCGUAGGCGGAUCUUUAAGUCGGGGGUGAAAGCCUGUGGCUCAACCACAGAAUUGCCUUCGAUACUGGGGAUCUCGAGACCGGAAGAGGUGAGUGGAACUGCGAGUGUAGAGGUGAAAUUCGUAGAUAUUCGCAAGAACACCAGUGGCGAAGGCGGCUUACUGGUCCGGUUCUGACGCUGAGGCGCGAAAGCGUGGGGAGCAAACAGG
rnacentral:rRNA from 1 species